rnacentral:rRNA from 1 species
ACGAACGCUGGCGGCGUGCUUAACACAUGCAAGUCGAACGGAAAGGCCCCUUUGGGGGUACUCGAGUGGCGAACGGGUGAGUAACACGUGAGUAACCUGCCCUUGACUUCGGGAUAACUUCAGGAAACUGGGGCUAAUACCGGAUAGGAAUCCUUGCUGCAUGGUGGGGGUUGGAAAGCUUCGGCGGUUUUGGAUGGACUCGCGGCUUAUCAGCUUGUUGGUGGGGUAGUGGCUUACCAAGGCUUUGACGGGUAGCCGGCCUGAGAGGGCGACCGGCCACAUUGGGACUGAGAUACGGCCCAGACUCCUACGGGAGGCAGCAGUGGGGAAUAUUGCACAAGGGGCGGAAGCCUGAUGCAGCAACGCCGCGUGCGGGAUGACGGCCUUCGGGUUGUAAACCGCGUUCAGCAGGGGCGAAGCUUGUGGUGACGGUACCUGCAGAAGAAGCACCGGCUAACUACGUG